rnacentral:rRNA from 1 species
CCGGAGAAAGGUGGGGAUGACGUCAAGUCGUCAUUGCCCUUACGACAUGGGCUACACACGUGAUACAAUGGUCGCGCAUCGUCAUGGUACCAAGGUGGAGCUAAUCCCAUAAAACCGAUCGUAGUCCGGAUAGCAGUCGGCAACUCGACUGCGUAAAGUCGGAAUCGCUAGUAAUCGCGGCGUAUCGCUUUACGCGUAUCCGCUAGCUUUACGCUACCGGAUCGUUCCCGGGACUUGACACCCGCCCGUCACACCAUGGGAGUGGGUUGCUCCAGAAGUAGCUACUCUCAUCUCCAAGCUAAUGACC